UACGUAGGGUGCAAGCGUUGUCCGGAAUUAUUGGGCGUAAAGAGCUCGUAGGCGGCUUGUCACGUCGGCUGUGAAAACCUGGGGCUCAACCCCGGGCCUGCAGCCGAUACGGGCAAGCUAGAAUUCGGUAGGGGAGACUGGAAUUCCUGGUGUAGCGGUGAAAUGCGCAGAUAUCAGGAGGAACACCGGUGGCGAGGGCGGGUCUCUGGGCCGAUAUUGACGCUGAGGAGCGAAAGCCAGGGGAGCAAACGGG
rnacentral:rRNA from 1 species